ACAACAACAUUGGGACCGUCGGUCUACCGAGCAAUAUCACCCGCUCGGUGGAAGAUCUUCCCUUUGUCGUAUAUA
rnacentral:pre_miRNA from 1 species